CUUUUGCUGGCGACCGGCGCACGGGUGAGUAACACGUAUCCAACCUGCCCUUUACUCGGGGAUAGCCUUUCGAAAGAAAGAUUAAUACCCGAUAGCAUAAUGAUUCCGCAUGGUUUCAUUAUUAAAGGAUUCCGGUAAAGGAUGGGGAUGCGUUCCAUUAGGUGUUGGUGAGGUAACGGCUCACCAAGCCUUCGAUGGAUAGGGGUUCUGAGAGGAAGGUCCCCCACAUUGGAACUGAGACACGGUCCAA
rnacentral:rRNA from 1 species